GAGUCUUGAAACAAGUUGCUAGAAAUUCUAGAAGACUCAUCAAAAAGACUCAAAAGGACUUUUACAAAAAAUAUUCGAAAGAAAUCUUAAGACUUAAUUGUUAGCUCUACCUUGAACUUGAAUUAUGAAUUCAAGGUUAUGAUUUGUCAAAGGAAAGAUAUCGUGAAAAUUAAAAGUGUUUGAGAUAGUUUAUCAUGAGAAACGGUUUAAAAUCAUUGUGUAGGGAGCAAGUCCGUGAAGCGGAGAUGAAAUAUUAUGUUUGGUUGAGAUAAUUUUUGAAACAGUGGAGUCCGCUUUCUCUCUGUGACGCGGAAAGAAAGAAUUUCACAUAUGAGGAACAAGUCCGCGGACCUGGUCCUUAUUUUCUGCUCGACUUUUCUUACUUGUCUUUGCCCAUAAUUCUCGUAGAAUAGAAUGAUUUCUUUCCCAAUCACUUGGAUUCAAUUACUCGACACAGUCACACUCUAAUUUACUAAGUACAGCCCUUAAAUUUCUCACUUUCAUAUAAAAAAUUCAUCAAACCCCCCAAAAAACAAGAUUUAGAAUGGAACUUUAAGAACACUUUUCAUGAAUAUAAAUCUUGCAAUAUUUAUGGACGAAUUCAAAUAUGAAAAAUUAUGUUUUGCGUAUGGGUGAACGUAUCCAAUACCAUGGAAACCUACAUAUCUCUUGAGUAUCAAACCCAUGGCGAAAAUCUGCAAUGUAACUGAAGAACAUCGACAUACGCCUUGAUUCUUUGCUUUUUUCUCCUUUUUUCUCUUCUUGAACUCUUCAUGAAAAUCCUAGGCAUGUAUUAGGAUUAUAAAAAUGAACCUAAUAGGAUUACACUCUUAAAACCUUACUAAAAACAAUUAAAUCUAAUUAUAUAACAAAAAGACCAAAACACCCCUCCCCAUUUUAGGUAACUUUCCUUAACUGAAAAGACUAACUUUUAAAGGGCAUAUCUCAUUCCUCCGACCUUCAAACUUAGAAAACUCGAUUGCAUUGUAAACAUAUUUCAAAGACCUUUCAUUUUCCAUCUCAUGGAAAACCUAAAUCAGUGUUAUGAUCGUUUGAAGUUGAUCCAAAUCAUACAUGAACUUAGGAAGUACUUGAACGAAUUCUCUUCUAUUCUUGUUGGAACUCAAGAUGCUACAUCUAGUGACCUUAAAACAUAAGAAAAUUUAAAUUCCUCGGUCAAAAUUUACUCACUACAAAAGAUGGUUCAAGUCUUAGCUCAAAAUAUUUCCUGUGUGUUGCAAUAUCUUUUCCUUGGGAUUAUUCUUCCUCAAAUGAUGACGGAACUAGGUAUCAAAUGGGGUUACUCUUACCAAAGUUUGAUUCUAAUGGUAGUCUUCAAGUAUAUUCAACCUUAACCCAAAUCCAUAGGUUCGAGUUCUAUACCUCUUGUAGGGAAUCUCAUCCCAAGACUAUUUCCACAUUCAACUUAGUACUCUAACAACUCCAUGGACCCCUACUAACCAACUCCUUUGGAGCAAACUAAGGGCUCUCAUUUAACUGUUUCUAAUAGUAAAACCUCAUCCUCCUUUUUAUAACCUUAGAUUUAAUUAUCAAACCAUCAUCAUCACGAUUAGAUGAUUAAACCUUCUCCUUCUAAUAUAACUCCACUAGUAAAAGAACUUCUAAUAAAAUAUCUCACAUACUCUUUGGAACUCAUUACUAUCUUACUCUCAAACACUUGAGUUGAUUUAUCAUCUUAUCAUCUCCUCCUUAGAUCUGAAGCUUCCAGUUGAAAGCUAUAAACCUAUUCCAUCAUCUCUAACGGGUGUACAUCCUCUUUUCCUCUAACACUUGUGAGAAUCUUAUCUCAUGACUAUGGAAAUCUGAAUAAGCUAGUACUAAGACCUCUUUCUAAGGUGUUUCUCUUGACCUCUCAUGAUUACAUACCACGUCAGUAUACCUACUAAUGCUUGUGUUAUUCUUACACUACAAGAAAAAGACUUUGUUAAGACCAAUACUUAAGGACGAGUCUAUAUUCUUGUCUCUAAAAGUAUACCUUUUGGGACGAGAUUAUAUUUCGGUCUUUAUUGGUAUAUGUUAUUGUGAAGACAUCAAAUUCGGUCCCUAAAAGAGUUACUAACUAGUCCCUAAAUGUAAUUGGAUACAUAUUUUGAGGCUUGAGCGGGAAAGUAAUUCCACCAAUCUGAAAAAUAUUUCUUUGAACAAAAUUUUAGGUGCUAAAACAUUAAUCCUAAAAGUAAAAAGAAAAAACCUUAUUCUCAAAUAUAUAGAAGCUUGUCCUAAAGUUGCCCUACUUCAGCUCACAACUACGUACACCUGAUGGAAAAUGAAACGUCCAUGCUGCCCUAGCUAAUCUCAAUGAAUCUCUGCCCCUUGAAUGGAUAGAUGUGUAUUCUUCUUUGUGUUGUUGUUUUCUCCCCUAAUCUCAACGAGAUAUUGAUAAAGGUGUCUUCUUUUUCCUCGUGUUGUUGCUUCUCGAUCUGGUAGAAAUAUAGCAUUAAAGCUUUGGUCGAGACAAUAUUCAGCUCAGCAAAGAGUUCAAGAAAGGUCGUGCAUUUGAUGGGUGGUCCGAAGGUACUUUAAACUUUCCGCUGACUUAUAAGUAUGAAGUAAACUCAGAAAAGUAUUGUGGAGAGGAUCCAAAGGACGGGAGACGUAGUCCAGCAUGGUAUGUAGCUAUUAUUAUUGUUAGUUAUAUAGCUUUAGUGGAUGUUCACUCAUUAGUCUUUGUUUGUAUAGCCCAAUAUCUUAAAAGUUUGGCUUGAUUCUAAUCUAUGAUGCGUACAACAAAUCAAUAUAUUCUAAUCUAUUGAUAAAGUUGUCUUCUUCUUCCUCGCGUUGUUGCUGCUCGAUCCGGUAGAAAUAGAAUCCAUCAAAGCUUUGCUCGAGAUAAAAUUUGAGGUGUGUUCUUUCUUCUAAUCGAGUUGUUGUGCUGUUCGAAAUAGAAUCCUACACGGCUUUGCUUGGGACAAUAUUGGAGGUGAGUUAAUCUUCGAGUAAUGACUUGUAAUAUAACAACUCGUCUUCUUGGUUACAAGUAACUAUUAGAAACUCCAUGUAUAAAAAAAUAGAAGUGAAAGACUGAUUUUGUUGUUGUGGAAAUAUAGGUUGAAGUAGGACUAUUGAGAAACUGUUGUUGAUUGUCCUGCAGAUUUGUCUUAGUAGUUUCAUCAAUCGAGCUAGGAUUCCUACCUUGUUUUUAUGGAAUGUUUCUUUUUGCAACCUGGAACUGCUGCAAUUCUCCAUUUUUUUAUUCUGAUCUUGCUCUGUCCUGCACUUGAAUUGAAAAACUUAGAUGAAUUUGAAUUGAAAACUUAGAUAAGUUUGAACAUCGGUAAUACUUAACUUUAAGAAAGUUUGAAAAAGAGUAAAAUGUAUUAUAUCCAUCAGUUUGCAGGUACAUAUAAAUAGUAGUAAUUAACUCUACUUUGUUGUUAUAAAAAUCUACAACUACUGGAAUAAGAGAAACUUAAUCAAGAAAAUUAGCAACAACUAGGAGUUCUUUUUCAUUUGGUCUUACAAAUAAAUAGUAGUUAUGUUCAUUUUGUCUUGCAAUAGAGAAGUUCUGUGGAAUCUCUGUUUUUUAAUAGUUAGAGACCAGAUAACAUAAUUUAAUUCUCCGUCUUUUCUAUUUUUUUAGACGUCAUACCUGCCUGCUCGUGACUAGUUUAGUGUUAAUUGACCAAGACUUCUCUUCUUGAAGUGUUUUGAUUGCCCUGCAGAUUUGCCUAGUACGUAGUUUCAUCAAUCGAGCUAGGAGUCCUACCUUGUUUUCGUGAAAUGUUUCUCUUUGCAACCUGAUCAACAAUAACACUACCUAUACAUAUGAUCAACAAUAACCAAAAAAGUUUUGUUACGAUCAAACUUCUCCCUAAAGACAUAGUUUGUCUACAUAUGUUCUGAAUGUUAUAUUGUAGAAACCACUAAUAUAAUAUAACAUAAAAUAACAUGAAAAUCGAUUCCAAAGAAAACUCAAUUGUUAUAAAUCGUUAUGAGUGACCAGAGAAUUCUUCGAGGCUCAUCAAUCACAUGUAGCAGCUACAACAUCGACUUUCUCAACUGAAUGACCACUACAUUUUCAGCUAACCAGCUUCUGCUGAUGUUUUGUAUAUCACUUGACAAAGGCUGUUUUUUGCCAGACUUUUGUUCAUACUUCAGUGAAGAUGCAAGUUUAGAAGAUGCACUAACUCAUUAUUAGUAAUUUGCUAUUAAUGUUUUGCAAAACUUUGGAUGUUAUCCAAAUAUUUUUGUUAAACGAAUAUAACGAAACUAACUUAAUGGGAGGUUAACCAAUUUAUUGUAAUUAAUCUUACUGUCUCUA